GCGAUCCUCCUGCCUCAGCCUCCCAAGUAGCUGGGACUCCAGCGUAUACACCAUUCCUACAGAGGACCCUCAUCUAAGGUUUACGUCAGUGUAAACUUCCAGAAUGCCAGAAAAUCCACAGUAAGGAGACUACAAAAACGUAUCCUCAGACUGAGAAUCCGUGGACGCUUGGCUAUUUACCAGGGGAGUUAUGGCUCGGAUGAGGAGCCCAAAGAAAGGGCUUUGCCAAGGGUAGUCACAUCCUCCUCCACUGCAUGGCAGAGCCACGGGAGAAGGAAGCCCACAGAGAGGAAGCAGACCCCGGAGAGAACCAUACAACAUCAUCAGGGCUUUUCAGUGACGUGAGCCAAUAAUCCUCUUUUUGGUGGCCAUUUGGGCUGGUGUCCAUCAUUUGUAACCAAAACAGUCCAGACUAACGGUUUCAUUGCAACAUGAAGGAUUCCUCUUUCCGAGGCAUUGGGGAACUCCUUACCGCUCCUCCCCUGGGCUGACUUUUGUCUCUCAUUGCUGACCUGAGCCUCUUCCUCCCAGCCCUGACCACACCAGGCUCCAGACGGCCCGAGACCCUGCUGCCAGUCCCUGAGGGGGUGGCCCUUACCUGCAUGUUGUUCCAGG